rnacentral:rRNA from 1 species
AGUGAACGCUGGCGGUAGGCCUAACACAUGCAAGUCGAACGGCAGCACAGUAAGAGCUUGCUCUUACGGGUGGCGAGUGGCGGACGGGUGAGGAAUACAUCGGAAUCUACUUUUUCGUGGGGGAUAACGUAGGGAAACUUACGCUAAUACCGCAUACGACCUACGGGUGAAAGCAGGGGAUCUUCGGACCUUGCGCGAUUGAAUGAGCCGAUGUCGGAUUAGCUAGUUGGCGGGGUAAAGGCCCACCAAGGCGACGAUCCGUAGCUGGUCUGAGAGGAUGAUCAGCCACACUGGAACUGAGACACGGUCCAGACUCCUACGGGAGGCAGCAGUGGGGAACAUUGGACAAUGGGGGCAAGCCUGAUCCAGCCAUACCGCGUGGGUGAAGAAGGACUUCGGGUUGUAAAGCCAUUUUGUUGGGAGAGAAAAGCAGCAGGUUAAUACCCCGCUGUUCUGACGGUACCCAAAGAAUAAGCACCGGCUAACUUCGUG